rnacentral:rRNA from 1 species
GACGAACGCUGGCGGCGUGCCUAAUACAUGCAAGUCGAGCGGACCAAAGGGAGCUUGCUCCUGGAGGUUAGCGGCGAACGGGUGAGUAACACGUGGGCAACCUGCCUGUAAGACUGGGAUAACAUCGAGAAAUCGGUGCUAAUACCGGAUAAUAAAAAGAACUGCAUGGUUCUUUUUGAAAGAUGGUUUCGGCUAUCACUUACAGAUGGGCCGCGGCGCAUUAGCUAGUUGGUGGGGUAACGGCUCACCAAGGCGACGAUGCGUAGCCGACCUGAGAGGGUGAUCGGCCACACUGGGACUGAGACACGGCCCAGACUCCUACGGGAGGCAGCAGUAGGGAAUCUUCCGCAAUGGACGAAAGUCUGACGGAGCAACGCCGCGUGAGUGAUGAAGGUUUUCGGAUCGUAAAACUCUGUUGUUAGGGAAGAACAAGUGCCGUUCGAAAGGGCGGCACCUUGACGGUACCUAACGAGAAAGCCACGGCUAACUACGUGCCAGCAGCCGCGGUAAAGU